CUCUCACAUGUGCCCUCUCUCUAGCAAAUAAAUAAAAUCUUAAAAAAAAGAGGGUGAAGGAAAUGCCCACAGAGCCCCCAUGGCCUCCUCCAGCCCCCACCAGGCCUCACCUGACAGUUACUUAUGCCAUUCCCAGCUUCCAUAUGAGACCCACCAGGCUUUACCUGACCCAUUUUAUCUGUGUGGCUUUGGAGCCUCAGGGAUACUCAAAGCAGAGCAGGCCCAUUUUAUUUUCCUGGUUUAAAAAAAUAAAAAGAAUCAAGAGACCGACAGCCCCAGUUCCUAAAAGGGCUGGCUGUAUUAUAACCCGGGACUUCGUUUCCAGGCCAGCCCCUGGAACUGUAAUUACCAAGAACACAGCUGAAUUAUAUAGUGCAGACUACGAGCCUGAGAUAUGGAUUGUGGGAACAGAAACCAGUGCAGGAAGGAAGAAAAAGCAGCUGAGAGUUUCUUCUCCUGUUCCUGAACCUGUAAAUAAAAUGUUAACUGGCAGAGCUUGGUCUUAAUUGUCCCCUGAUGUCCUCCUUACCCCUCUGGCUUGGUCGAGUUCCAGUUUUGGUCCCAGGGCUGCCUUUGAUCUUCCUGGACUCCAUGCCGAAACUCUGUGGACCGGCUGCGGGCAGGGAAGAGGGAGGAAGCAGCUUGAGCAGAAGCAGGGCUCGGUGUUGAAGUCUAAAGGUAAGCAGGGUGAGGUCCAGUCAGAGCUCCACAGUGCAGUACUGGGAACUGGGGAUCACUCCUUCCUUCCUGAAACGUUCGUCGCCCUUGACUGGUAACACCAUGCUUCUGGCUCUGCCUCUACCUCCCCGGCGGCUCUUUCAGUCUCCUUGGUCCCUGUCCUCUUUCUCUUCCUGAUCUUCUCCAAGUCUGUGUUCAUCAGAAUUCCGCCUUGGUCUUUUUCCCUUCAUAUCUCGCAGUCCCAGGCAAAUUCCAAUUUUUCAGAAUUACAUUUCCCAGCCUCCCUUGGAGCUAAGACUUGCCAUGUGACCUGACUUGGCCAAGGAGACAUGAGCAGGUGGCUGUGGGGAUUUCUGGGAAAGUUUCACUUUCCUAACACAGGUGCUUCUGCUCUGCUCUUUUUGCUCUUCUGCCUGUCUGGAAUGCAUGUGGGAAGGAGAGCUGGAGCAGCCGUCUUAUGACCAGAAGCUGGCUCUGAGGAGGACAGCUUCCUCAGUAAGGAGAACUCCAGAGCAGACCUACAGGGUAGACCUGGGACCUGAAUGAGAAGCUUGUCCAGGAGGUGACCUCCCCGUGCCCUUCCAGCCCUGCCUGCCUCACUGACCUGCUCAAUCAAUGGCGAUUUGGGAGGACAUACAGCUAAAUGGAACACAAUCCUCAAGGACACACAGGCCUAGUACACAGCGGACAAUUCAGAGAAGUUCAGGACCUUCUCCAGUGUCACUGAGCCUGCAGGGAGCAGUACUGAACUUGGACCCAGGUCACGAUGACUCUAAAGCUGCAGUCAUCUACUGUCAUACCUUGCCUCCCCACACAUUCAUUUGUGGGUUUCUGGGGGACAAGGGGUAUGAUUCCCCUUUGUCUUAAUGAGCACUUAAAAAAAAGAUUAACUUUUUUUUUGGUCAUCAAAUACAGCCAAACGAUUAAAGGAAAUUUACCAUAUGACAGAUGUCCCUUCUCUG